rnacentral:lncRNA from 1 species
UUGUUUUGUGGGCCAUGUAGGUAGUUGAAUUAUGGUUGGUUUAUUUAAUUGGAAAAAUAAAUGAAAGACUAGUUUGGGGAGUGCAAGGAUAAAAGGGUAGGAAGAAUAGAGAGAGGGCAUUGAGAAUUCAUUUAAGGGGGCAUGGGGUAUAUGGAGUAAAUCUCCGACUCUGAGAGAUUAUUAUGUGCUCAAUCUAUCGACAAGAGAGCAAACCCCUUUAACUAAAAGUUUUUCUUUUCUUAAAAAGGAUUUUUGCUUUUGACCAAAAAAAAGAAUGGAAUUUGUCCAUAUAUACAUAAAAAAAUCAUAAAUUCACUAUCUAACCAAAACAACCAUCUCUCUCCUCAUUCUUAUUCCUCUCUCUCUCUCUCUAACCUCUCACUAAAAAACUAAUUACCCUUUUUAUUUUGGUUAUUUCACAAAUAAUCUCAAAAAUUUUUUUUUUUUGUUAAAUUCAUAUUUGUUAUGGACUUUUAAUUAAAACUAAUUAAGUGAGUUGACUUAAGAGCAUCUCCAACAUGUCCUUAUG